rnacentral:rRNA from 1 species
AAUCAACGCUGGCGGCGUGCCUAACACAUGCAAGUCGAACGAGAAAGGGGGCUUCGGUCCCUGAGUACAGUGGCGCACGGGUGAGUAACACGUGACUUAUCUACCCUCGAGUGGGGAAUAAACUUCGGGAAACCGAGGCUAAUACCGCAUAAUACCCACGGGUCAAAGGAGCAAUUCGCUUGAGGAGGAGGUCGCGGCCGAUUAGUUAGUUGGCGGGGUAAUGGCCCACCCAAGACAGUGAUCGGUAUCCGGCCUGAGAGGGCGCACGGACACACUGGAACUGAAACACGGUCCAGACUCCUACGGGAGGCAGCAGUGGGGAAUUUUGCGCAAUGGGGGAAACCCUGACGCAGCAACGCCGCGUGGAGGAUGAAGUCUCUUGGGACGUAAACUCCUUUCGAUCGGGACGAUUAUGACGGUACCGGAAGAAGAAGCCCCGGCUAACUUCGUG